GCGUCAUUGGUCUAGGGGUUAGGAUUCAACUCUUCCAUUUUCCAAUCGAAAAGUUGAGGCCCGGAUUCGAGUUCCGGAUGACGCA
rnacentral:tRNA from 1 species